GGCGCGGUGGCGAAGUGGUAACGCGGGAGUCUGCAAAACUUCUAUGCG
rnacentral:tRNA from 1 species